GUUCAAUCUGUAGCACAAAAAUAAACAAUUUCUCAAACUCUGAGAAAGCUGUAGGUGACAUCUUUACAUGGCCCACUAGCAUGGAGGCUGUCACAAAACACUUCUCUUCUCCUUGCAGUUUCUGAGAAAUCUGUGACUUUCUGUUCUCCUCUCCUCAAUAGUGCUGCAGAAUAUAAAAACCACUUAGCAGCAAUCUAGAAUUGAUUGUUCACUUAUGGGGUAUCCCACAACUCACAUUACAGUCAUCUGGCCUCUUGUUUCAGCAUUGUUUAUUUUUUGGUGUGUAGGACAAGAACCUCAGGGAGCUGGUACCAUUGUGCAUUCUUCAUCUUGCUGUAUAUGUAAGUAACAAACUGGAUCUAAAAGUGACUUGUUUUGUCUUUACCAGCUGAAUCAGUUAGGCCUUGACCUUGCCAAAUCUUAUAUGGGUGUGUGACAAAGCCUAGCUUGCUUUAUGCUGCCCUGCAUUGUUGGUAUUCAAUAGGAAAAGGCAAGUUAUCUAGCAUAAGAGGUGUGGAUAAGGUAGCAUAGCAGGGCUGAUACAGUCCACCCCUGCUGCAGACUGAAACAAAUCACAAAGCAUAACAACUCAGUCAUAUUCUAGCAAAAUAGGACAGCCAGCAGAUAAGUGUGAGUGAGAAGUAAGGUGGUCAGGCCAAGUGAGAAACAUUCCUGAGAAACCUAGCUGCAUCCUGAAGCCAGGGUAAUUUCAGGUAAUCAGGCUAUUUACCAUCCAGCUCUGGUCUUAUGUUUUAGGGACUUGGUCUGACAACCUUACACGCUGGAUCUCCAUCAGAGAUCAACUUGACCCUGCAAGAUCCAGCAGCCCAUGAUUUCUAGGCAGUGGUGCACACAUUUUUUUUUCUUUUUUAAAUUUUUUUUGGUGCACGCAUUUAAUAGACUAAAUUCCUGGAGUCAGACAGACUGGAUUCUCUCCUCAACAGAGUGAUAUAGGGCCUUUCUAAGCUGUAUUUCCCUUAUCUGUAAAAUGAGAAUAGUAACACUGUUGAAAUGAAUGAAUAAAAUAAUACAUUUAAAGUGAUUUGCAAUGACUUGUGUAUAAUAGGCAUUCCAUUGAUUGAUUGAUUGAUUUUGAUAGUGAGGAUUAAACCUAGGACCUUGUGUAUGAUAGGUAAGUGCUGUAUCACUAAACUAUAUGCCUACUAUAUUUUUUAAGUUUAAAAAUUUUUGGAGGGGC
rnacentral:lncRNA from 1 species